GCCUUCGUGGUGUAGUGGUCAGCACGCUCGAUGCGUAACCGAGAGGUCCGUGGUUCGAUUCCCGGUAAGGCG
rnacentral:tRNA from 1 species